GUGCCCGUAGCUCAGCUGGAUAGAGUGACAGACUCCGACUCUGUAGGUCGAAGGUUCGAAUCCUUUCGGGCACGCCA
rnacentral:tRNA from 1 species